CCGGCCGCGCGGGUCACGUGGGGCCGGUACAAAAGGCCAAAGUGGGAGGCGGCGCCGCGCGCCCGGAGCCCCGGCGGCCGGGGGGCGCCCGUGCGCGGGCCGGGCCGGGCGGCUCCCCUCCCCGGGGCCGGAGCAGCCGCGGCGAGCCCCAUGGCACCGCCGGGGGAGCGGAGGGCCGCGCCCGGGCGGGGAGGCUUCGGGGCGGCGCGGAAAUCCGGUGAAGUCCUACAAGACAACGGAACCUGUGGAUUGGUGUUCACUCACCAUCCUGCGUCACACCACCUCCCUGCAUUCCUCGGACCAGUUCUCAACCUCCCACUCCUGGCCCCUCACCCCGCGGGCCUCUCCUCUCCGUCUCCUGUGACUCUGCACCCCUGUCCCCAGUGGGGAGACCCUGGGCGCGUGUGCAGGGGAAGGGGCAUGCUCGCCGUGUGUAUCAGGGCAAAGCAGUGGCCAUCCCAGCACCAGGCUGGCGGCACCUGGACACACUCAGGGGGCACCUUGGCAGCUAUGUGAGCCUCUGGCCCACCCCUGUCCAGGUACUUACUGCGUCAUGGCACAGAAGUAACCAUAUUCUUGUUAUGCAGGCGGGUGACCUGGGGCUGGGCUGGGUCUGAGGCCUCAAGGGAAGGGGAGCUGCCUGGCUUGAGUUCCAGGGAUGCUUGUCGUUGGUUGGCAGGAGUGUAACCUGGCUGCUCUUAGCCUUGUCAUCUGUACAGUCUGACUCCCUCUGUGUGUAUCCAUGUGCCCAAGAGACUGUGACAGUAAGCAGGAAAUAAAGACCACAGGUUAAGAGAGACACCGUGGAAGAAAGAAAAGAGUUCUUCCUGCAUGAUGAACUAGGGACCUGCAUUUUCAUUUUUCAGCAAGCCCUGUAAAUUAUGUACCAAGCUUUCUCCUUCUGUCAGUGAUUCCACCACUCUGAUCAUCCAAGCCAGAAUUCUGGGAAUCAUCACCGACUUUUCCCCUUUUCCUGUCCCCCUAGACGUUUCUAGUGUCUUCAUUUCCAAAUGCCACUGACUUAGUUCAGGUAAGUAAAAGAAAUUUGGAAUGAUCCUGGUUUUGAUUAAGCCACCUGUGUUACCCCCAUCAGAUAGGGAAGAAGGAAGGAAUUCCUGCCUGUCCAGCAGUUAAAACUCCACACUUUCAAUGCAAGGGGCAAGAGUUCAAUUCCUGGUCAGAGAACUAAGAUCUCAUACACCAGUGGCACAACCAAAGGGGGAAAGAAUAGAUAAAGGAUAGGGAAGUAAGAGGAAAAGAGACAACAGCUCAUGCUUAGUUCAUCCUUUCUGUUGUCUGUGUUUGUGGGAAUGACAUCGGUUGGGAAACAGUAAGAGGUAAGGUCUGGGCUUCCCUGGUGGCUCAGUGGUAAAGAAUUCACCUGCCACUGCAGGAGCCACGGGUUCAAUCCCUGGUCCGGGAAGAUCCCACAUUCUGUAACGCAAAUAAGCCCAUGUGCCACAAGUAUUGAGCCUGUGCUCUGGAGCCCAGGAACUGCAACUACUGAAGUCCAUGUGGCCUAGACCCCCUGCUCCAUAGCAAGAGAAGCCCCAACACCGCAGCUAAAGAGUAGCCCCCGCUCACUGCAGUGAGAGAAAGCCCUCGUGCCGCAAUAAAGACCCAGCACAGCCAAAACAAAUAAAUAAAAUUAUUUU